GUGGGUGACUGUGAUGGGUCACUACAUUAUUUGGUCACGAAAUAGGUGGAGGAAAUUUUCCCAAAGGGAGGUCGUUAUGAUGAAAAUGAGGGACAGGGAUGCCUAAAACCCUCUGACCUCUAUUAUGGGGGCACAGAUGAAAAUGGGAUAAGUCUGUUUCUUUGCAGAAGGCUUUUUGUUGCUGUUUUGUAUUUGUUUUUUAUUGUAUUAUUACAUCAACAUCCUUUUGUGAGCCCCAUAUUAACUCUAGGUAGAGCUAGAUGGAAAUCACUGAAGGAAGCCACACAAGCCUGACUCUGUCAAAAUGCAUCAGUGGCCUCCCUCUCUCUCACUGUACUGUCACCAUGGAGCAGUGAUGUUUUGAAACAGUGGGAAUCUUCCAUUCUCUGCAGUUUGAGGUUCAGUAAUGUGAUAUCCAGUUACCCAAGUGAGCCAUGGAUACCAGUAAGAAACACAGAGGAGCCUACCUCGCCGCACCCCUUUGUUGUCCCUGAAUUGGAUCAGAAGAGUUUCAACCAUAUCACAUCUGGGGCUGGUGCUAACAUCUGUCUCUGAGAAUGUGCUGGCUGUGACAACUCACUAUUCAUGUGACGAGAUCCAAACUCUUCAUAGCAAGCCAGACACAGGUGCUAUCACUGGAAAAUUUUUCUAUUAUCCAAUUCUUCCAUAUGCUUUCCAAGGGGAAAUAAACUAGUUUCAGGUCACACUGGUUCAUAAUGUUAGACUGCCAAGAUGGCUAGAAUAUAACCCUUCUAUCAAGACCUUGCAAGGACUGCCUUUAGAAGAUGAAGGAAGAGAUUUCCAAAUCACGGCGCUGGUGUCUGGGGAUUUCUGUUUCCAGCAAACGCGAACAGCCUCCAUCACCUCUACCCUUCAUGUGCUGGACAGAUGACGUAAAGGAAACAAGCUUGAUUUCGUCUCCAAGUGGUGUUAGGGUCCAAGGAGGCUAAAAGUUUUCUACCAACGUAGCUGAAGUCACUGUUAAAGCAGCUGCCGAAAUUCUUGGUGUUGGAAACCGUCCCUUUUUGGUGCACACACUGGCAGACUAUUUCCACUUGGAUCCAUCAUGAGUGACUAUGAACUCCUUCAGAAGCAAGAUAAACAAGCACCUUUGGAACCUUCCAGUGUUGGCUGCAGAUCCCAGUGACGUGUUGGAUUCCUAAAGAUGUGUCUGUGCCUGCUCAGUCACAUACUCAUGCCCGACUCUUUGCGACCCUGUGGACUCUAGCCCGCCAGUCUCCUCUCUUCAUGGGAUUUUCCAGGCAAGAAUACUGGAGCAGGUUGCUAUUUCCUCCUCCAGGGGAUCUUCAUGACCCAGGGAUCCAACCCACAUCUCUCGCAUCUCCUGCAUUGGCAGGCGAAUUCUUUACCACUUCGCCACCUGGGAAGGCCCCUAAAGAUGAGGCCUCAUCAUUUUCUGGCUUAUUUGAUCACUUAAGACAGAUCACUCCUAUCCUUGACCCUGACUUUAUUCCAGGUACCCCAAGGUAUGCAAAGACAACAAGGCUGCUGCAUACAGUAGCAACACAGAAUUCAUUAAAGAGAAUUCUUCUUGACAAUAAAUCUUGAAUAUUCUUUUGCUUUGCCUGAGGUCAUUCCUUCU
ensembl:lncRNA